GACGAACGCUGGCGGCGUGCUUAACACAUGCAAGUCGAACGGAAAGGCCCUGCUUUUGUGGGGUGCUCGAGUGGCGAACGGGUGAGUAACACGUGAGUAACCUGCCCUUGACUUUGGGAUAACUUCAGGAAACUGGGGCUAAUACCGGAUAGGAGCUCCUGCUGCAUGGUGGGGGUUGGAAAGUUUCGGCGGUUGGGGAUGGACUCGCGGCUUAUCAGCUUGUUGGUGGGGUAGUGGCUUACCAAGGCUUUGACGGGUAGCCGGCCUGAGAGGGUGACCGGCCAGAUUGGGACUGAGAUACGGCCCAGACUCCUACGGGAGGCAGCAGUGGGGAAUAUUGCAUAAUGGGCGGAAGCCUGAUGCAGCAACGCCGCGUGCGGGAUGACGGCCUUCGGGUUGUAAACCGCUUUCGCCUGUGACGAAGUGUGAGUGACGGUAAUGGGUAAAGAAGCACCGGCUAAGUACGUG
rnacentral:rRNA from 1 species